rnacentral:rRNA from 1 species
CCNUGGUAGUCCACGCCGUAAACGAUGAGUGNUAGGUGUUGGAUCCUUUCCGGGAUUCAGUGCCGCAGCUAACGCAUUAAGCACUCCGCNUGGGGAGUACGACCGCAAGGUUGAAACUCAAAGGAAUNGACGGGGGCCCGCACAAGCGGUGGAGCAUGUGGUNUAAUUCGAAGCAACGCGAAGAACCUUACCAGGUCUUGACAUCCCGAUGCUAUUUCUAGAGAUAGAAAGUUACUUCGGUACAUCGGUGACAGGUGGUGCAUGGUUGUCGUCAGCUCGUGUCGUGAGAUGUUGGGUNNNNNNAAAAAANNGAGCGCAACCCCUAUUGUUAGUUGCCAUCAUUCAGUUGGGCACUCUAGCGAGACUGCCGGUAAUAAACCGGAGGAAGGUGGGGAUGACGUCAAAUCAUCAUGCCCCUUAUGACCUGGGCUACACACGUGCUACAAUGGUUGGUACAACGAGUUGCGAGUCGGUGACGGCAAGCUAAUCUCUUAAAGCCAAUCUCAGUUCGGAUUGUAGGCUGCAACUCG